AGGAAAAGAAGAAGAAGAAAAAGGAAAAGAAAGAGAAGAAAGAAGAAAAGAGGGCUUUGUGUGUUCAUGUCGUAGGCAGCUCACCAAGCUUAUUUAUAACGCCUGGACCGUGAGAUCGAAGGAUCAAAUAAUGUAGGUUAUUUGAUUUUGAGGCAUCUCUAGGUCCUUUGGUUAGCAACUAGUAGGUCAAAGAGUUCUAUCGAUGGGGACCUUUGGAAGUGAACUUUGGAUAUGAUUUGAGGCUGCGUUCUUCGGGUGCAAGGAUGGCCAUGUCACCCCCAUCCCUCUGGAUUUGGGAUGUGACAGAAUUUGUCGCAUUUGCACCAUUCGUUCCUUGGCCUAUAUUGAAGAAAGUUCCAUGAAAUGAUGUUUAUUAUGAGCGAGGAUCUGCACGGCCCUUGCCUCAGCUAGUGAGGGUUGGUUGGUGGCCCUCAGUCAACCAUGGCAAGGGUCAAACGACGCUCACUGUGCCUUAAUGAUGCUCACGUCCUUGCGCGAGCGACACGAGGGUUGUGCGACCUUCAGUCUCGCUCGACCAUAGCCAGCUCUAUGUCUGUCUUCCGUGACCAUGGCCAGCCCUUUAAGUGUUACUAAACUGAUUUGAAAUUAUUA